AGAGUUUGAUCCUGGCUCAGGAUGAACGCUGGCGGCGUGCCUAAUACAUGCAAGUCGAGCGAACGGACGAGAAGCUUGCUUCUCUGAUGUUAGCGGCGGACGGGUGAGUAACACGUGGAUAACCUACCUAUAAGACUGGGAUAACUUCGGGAAACCGGAGCUAAUACCGGAUAAUAUUUUGAACGGCAUGGUUCAAAAGUGAAAGACGGUCUUGCUGUCACUUAUAGAUGGAUCCGCGCUGCAUUAGCUAGUUGGUAAGAUAACGGCUUACCAAGGCAACGAUGCAUAGCCGACCUGAGAGGGUGAUCGGCCACACUGGAACUGAGACACGGUCCAGACUCCUACGGGAGGCAGCAGUAGGGAAUCUUCCGCAAUGGGCGAAAGCCUGACGGAGCAACGCCGCGUGAGUGAUGAAGGUCUUCGGAUCGUAAAACUCUGUUAUUAGGGAAGAACAUAUGUGUAAGUAACUGUGCACAUCUUGACGGUACCUAAUCAGAAAGCCACGGCUAACUACGUGCCAGCAGCCGCGGUAAUACGUAGGUGGCAAGCGUUAUCCGGAAUUAUUGGGCGUAAAGCGCGCGUAGGCGGUUUUUUAAGUCUGAUGUGAAAGCCCACGGCUCAGCCGUGGAGGGUCAUUGGAAACUGGAAAACUUGAGUGCAGAAGAGGAAAGCGGAAUUCCAUGUGUAGCGGUGAAAUGCGCAGAGAUAUGGAGGAACACCAGUGGCGAAGGCGACUUUCUGGUCUGUAACUGACGCUGAUGUGCGAAAGCGUGGGGAUCAAACAGGAUUAGAUACCCUGGUAGUCC
rnacentral:rRNA from 1 species